rnacentral:misc_RNA from 1 species
AAACAAUGACUCCCCUUUCCCUUUCUACUCUGAUAAAAGAGAACACUGACAACCAAAAGAACCCCCGUGUCUUUUCUUAUAUAUCACAUAAAGAGAAGAAUAAAGCAAAGGUAAACAAGAAACUUACUAGACAGAAUAAAUUUCUGACAAGACAGAAUUUGGUUUCACAACAUUGACACUUUAGCUAUCUAUUUGUUUUCAGAAAUGAGAAAAGAAUACUGCUUUUGCAUGUCAAGCUCCCCAACCAGAAAAUUCAAUAAACCUUGUAGCUUAUUGUCAGGACUUGCAACCAUGUAACCUCGUGAG